GUGACUACCUAACACUGUUGCUUCGGCGGGGAGCCCUCUCGGGGGCGAGCCGCCGGGGACUACUGAACUUCAUGCCUGAGAGUGAUGCAGUCUGAGUCUGAAUAUAAAAUCAGUCAAAACUUUCAACAAUGGAUCUCUUGGUUCCGGCAUCGAUGAAGAACGCAGCGAACUGCGAUAAGUAAUGUGAAUUGCAGAAUUCAGUGAAUCAUCGAGUCUUUGAACGCACAUUGCGCCCCCUGGCAUUCCGGGGGGCAUGCCUGUCCGAGCGUCAUUGCUGCCCAUCAAGCCCGGCUUGUGUGUUGGGUCGUCGUCCCCCCCGGGGGACGGGCCCGAAAGGCAGCGGCGGCACCGUGUCCGGUCCUCGAGCGUAUGGGGCUUUGUCACCCGCUCGAUUAGGGCCGGCCGGGCGCCAGCCGACGUCUCCAACCAUUUUCUUCAGGUUGACCUCGGAUCAGGUAGGGAUACCCGCUGAACUUAAGCAUAUC
rnacentral:rRNA from 1 species